UACGAAGGGGGCUAGCGUUGUUCGGAAUUACUGGGCGUAAAGCGCACGUAGGCGGCUUUGUAAGUAGGGGGUGAAAUCCCAGGGCUCAACCCUGGAACUGCCUUCUAAACUGCAAGUCUGGAGGUCAGGAGAGGCGAGUGGAAUACCGAGUGUAGAGGUGAAAUUCGUAGAUAUUCGGUGGAACACCAGUGGCGAAGGCGGCUCACUGGCCCGAUACUGACGCUGAGGCACGAAAGCGUGGGGAGCAAACAGG
rnacentral:rRNA from 1 species